UACAACUUGUGUGCGGCUCUCAAGUCUAUACAAGAAAACGGGGAAAGUACUUAAAUGAAGCCACAAGGAAUUGGCGACUCAUGAAGACGAUCAUGACAAUGUGCCAUGUGUAUGAUGAAGAGCACAACUAUGUUGCAUUUGACCAACUGGCGCCUGAGGAUUCCAAGCCAAUUACAUUCCUGAAAAAAGUGAUGCCUGAUUAUGCUUGACAAGAUAAAUUUAUCGGACUCUGGUGAUCUUCAGCUUUCUCUCUCACUGGUGGUCUUCUCGUCUUGAAUUAACCUGACAAUAGUUUAUCAAUCAUUAAGAUGAUUUUGCACUUGUUGAGUUGAGGCUUAUCCAUAUUAGAGAAGAAAAUGUUCUUGUGAACUUUUUUGGAACUUAAAAUUUUCUGUUUUGUCUCUAGUAUGUUGCAGCAUCAGCAUGAUGACAGAUUAUACAUUUUCUUCCAUGCCAACAUGAUAAGUGCU